rfam:Candidatus Kaiserbacteria bacterium RIFCSPHIGHO2_01_FTLL_54_36b rifcsphigho2_01_scaffold_971, whole genome shotgun sequence.
GGUCUAAAUCGUUCAGUAGUACUGGACGACAUGAUCGUGGAAAGACCCAAUGGCGAUUUCUGAACCCUGCGUUCAGCGACUCGUCAUUGGGCCAUGUCUGGAAACGGGCAUGGGGCCGCAAGGCCU